UUCACACAAGUGCCUGACAAGGAAGGUUGGAUGAUCAUUUUUUUGGAAUAUGGUCACCAAAGUGAUCAAUGUGUUUGACCCCCUGUUUGUCAGAAAUUCACCAGACCACCAAGGACGAGGCAAUUGCAUGGAGCUCCAAAUGCUCUCUGCAACUGUUUUAAUGAAUAUUAUGCAGAGUGGCCAACCAACAAGGAUGGUUGGGGGAAAAAGAACCCAGCUCUUACUGACACCAUUUUCUGCUGUAACAACACAAGAGCAUGCAUUCUGCACAUCGCUUGUAACUUCGAUUGAGAAAAGCUCAAGCUCCCCCCUGAGAAGCAACAUGUCCUGAAAAAAAAGAUGGAUGCCCUGCAUGAGAUCAUGAAGCUUCAUGGAAACUUCUCCACGCUCGCUUACGGGGCACUAUAGAAGUUCCUGGCGUCAUUCGAAUCUGCCUUCGACAAUUAGGCGACCAUAGCCCGUGGCUCUAUCAAGCACUGAGCUUUAGUCAUUAGCUUUUGUUUUAGUGUCCAAGAACGUGUAUCAUGACACUGUCGAAUUUCCAGCCACCUCCAUUGCACUCAUACCUUUUGCUUAGAACCAUGGAAUUUGUACCCUGGUUUAUA